UACGUAGGUGGCAAGCGUUAUCCGGAUUCACUGGGCGUAAAGCGCGUGCAGGCGGUUUCGUAAGUCGGACGUGAAAGCUCCUGGCUUAACUGGGAGAGGUCGUUCGAUACUGCGGGGCUUGAGGUCGGGAGAGGGACGUGGAAUUCCCGGUGUAGUGGUGGAAUGCGUAGAUAUCGGGAGGAACACCAGUGGCGAAGGCGACGUCCUGGCCCGCACCUGACGCUGAGACGCGAAAGCGUGGGUAGCGAACGGGAUUAGAUACCCCGGUAGUCCACGCUGUAAACGGUGGGUACUAGGUGUUGGUGGCUAUCGUCAUCAGUGCCGUAGCUAACGCGUUAAGUACCCCGCCUGGGGACUACGGCCGCAAGGCUAAA
rnacentral:rRNA from 1 species